rnacentral:pre_miRNA from 1 species
AUGAUACUCCCUCCGUUCCGAAUUACUUGUCUUAGAUUUGUCUAGAUACGGAUGUAUCUAGCACUAAAAUGAGUCUAGAUACAUAUGUAUCUAGACAAAUCCAAGACAAGUAAUUCGGAAUGGAGGGAGUACCUC